CUCCGAACCCGACGACCACUUGGAACAACGAGGACACAGCAAUGGCGCCCGAGAGCUCCCUCAUUCUGACCUGCCACAGUUCCGUUCGGUUCUCGGCAGACAUCUCCUCCAGCACUUCCGGCGCGGGGCAUUUCCACUGUGGAAGAUUCAGUAUCGCUAACGUUGGGACUAGAAACGAUAUGGUUCCUCCUUGUACCAAUGGCAGCCUGGAAGAUGAAGCGAAUUCAAUGUCGUUCACGGUUCAUGAUUAGCGAGACUUGCUUCGCAUCGGGAAAUUUCUACUGGUUGACGUUUCUCGAAUAAUUUUGGCUUGGAACGCCGAGUGUCGUAAGUUCCGGAAGAACGAUCGUCCGGUCACUCCCGGAACAGCAGGAAUUCCUCUGUUAUAAAAUUUGACAUAAAAACCGGAUGGUAAUUCUUUCCGGGAAACUGCGAGGGACCUAGCCGGCAAUAAAUCUUCGCUAAACAAGAGUACAGAUCGUCUUCAGCAAUAAAGUUACGAGGAUUAACGCCUAGGCAACUUGUUACACGUUCGCUGGCGUGCGCAAUUGUAACAGAAGAAAUCAGGAUUGAUGUAUCUGUAAUCCCGGCGUUGAAGACCGUUUCAUCCAUCAGUUUGAGGAAUUACCUGCAUCCGAUCGAAGUCUGGAAAAAAGUCACCAGCCCGGUAACGAAGAUCAUAGUGGAGAUUAUGUAACUCCUCGACGGAUCGUCUUCCGCCAUGCAGAGAGCCGGCGUCAGGAUGAAGGGAAUCGAGACGAUCGCCCCGAUCAUGGUCAAAUAAUGCUGAAACAAAUCGUGUUUCUGUCUCAGGUCUCUAUUUACAGUUUAAAUAGAGAAAGCUCGACCGAUAAGCACACCGACGGGAUUAAGUGUCGUUGAACAUUAAACUCGUAUGAUUGAU